rnacentral:rRNA from 1 species
CAGUCGCCACGGUAAUACGAAGGGGGCUAGCGUUGUUCGGAUUUACUGGGCGUAAAGCGCACGUAGGCGGAUCGAUCAGUCAGGGGUGAAAUCCCAGAGCUCAACUCUGGAACUGCCUUUGAUACUGUCGAUCUGGAGUAUGGAAGAGGUGAGUGGAAUUCCGAGUGUAGAGGUGAAAUUCGUAGAUAUUCGGAGGAACACCAGUGGCGAAGGCGGCGUCCUGGUCCUUGACUGACGCUGAGGCGCGAAAGCGUGGGGAGCAAACAGGAUUAGAUACCCCCGUAGUCCCUGUCUCUUAUAC